UACGUAGGGUGCAAGCGUUGUCCGGAUUUAUUGGGCGUAAAGAGCUCGUAGGCGGCUCGUCGCGUCGACCGUGAAAACCCGCAGCUUAACUGCGGGCUUGCGGUUGAUACGGGCGGGCUAGAGUUCGGUAGGGGAGACUGGAAUUCCUGGUGUAGCGGUGAAAUGCGCAGAUAUCAGGAGGAACACCGGUGGCGAAGGCGGUUCUCUGGGACGGUACUGACGCUGAGACGCGAAAGCGUGGGGAGCGAACAGG
rnacentral:rRNA from 1 species